rnacentral:rRNA from 1 species
GAUGAACGCUGGCGGCGUGCCUAAUACAUGCAAGUCGAGCGAACAGAUGAGGAGCUUGCUCCUCUGACGUUAGCGGCGGACGGGUGAGUAACACGUGGAUAACCUACCUAUAAGACUGGGAUAACUUCGGGAAACCGGAGCUAAUACCGGAUAAUAUAUUGAACCGCAUGGUUCAAUAGUGAAAGACGGUUUUGCUGUCACUUAUAGAUGGAUCCGCGCCGCAUUAGCUAGUUGGUAAGGUAAGGCCUACCCAGGCAACGAUGCGUAGCCCAACUGAGGGGGUGAUCGGCCCCCCUGGAACUGAGACACGGUCCAGACUCCUACGGGAGGCAGCAGUAGGGAAUCUUCCGCAAUGGGCGAAAGCUUGACGGAGCAACGCCGCGUGAGUGAUGAAGGUCUUCGGAUCGUAAAACUCUGUUAUUAGGGAAGAACAAAUGUGUAAGUAACUAUGCACGUCUUGACGGUACCUAAUCAGAAAGCCACGGCUAACUACGUG